GACGAACGCUGGCGGCGUGCCUAAUACAUGCAAGUCGAACGCAGUGGGGACGGGUGAGUAACACGUUGGUAACCUCCCCAUCAGAGGGGAUAAAGCUUGGAAACAGGUGCUAAACCGAUAUUGAUGGAUGGACCAGCGGUGCGUUAGCUAGUGGGUGAGGUAACGGCUCACACAGGCCACGAUGCAUACCCGGCCUGAGAGUGUGAUCGGCCACACUGGGGCGGAGACACGUGCAAUAGUCCUACGGAAGGCAGCAGUAGGGAAUCUUCGGCAAUGGACGAAAGUCUGGCCGAGCAACGCCGCGUGAGUGAAGAAGGUUUUCGGAUCGUAAAACUCUUUUGUUAGAGAAGCGGUAUCUAACCAGAAAGCCACGGCUAACUACGUGCCAGCCGACGCGGUAAUAC
rnacentral:rRNA from 1 species